rnacentral:lncRNA from 10 species
CAAAAAGUUGCUUCUCUCUGUGCAGCAAAGGCAAGAUGAGAGAGCAAUGGCUCCCAGCCCUUUUUAGUUAAUGAAUAGCUUAGAAACGAACCCAUGUCCAGUGCAAAGCUCAAGAGAAGCCAAGGGAAGCAGAAUCUGGAGGCAAACCUGACUGGCAGAUCCCACACCAAAUCCUCAGGUCCUCCUCGGUCAGCCAGCUCCCAGCCACUGGAGGGCGCCCCGAAAGUCUGAAAGAGGCAAACCCAGAUCAGAGCCUUCCUACUCUGAGCUGGCCUGAAUGUCCUGUUCAUGGAUCCAGCUCAGCCCUGGGCACAUGGCAAGUGGUGUCUGGCUCUUUUGCCUUCUACACCGUCUUCCCACUUCCUACCAUCAGAUACCCAAAGCCUCCAAUGAACUCCCUCCUCAACUUCAGUUCCUUAAAGACAAUCCACCUGAAUCAAUCUAUUCACCCUGAACUGUUAGGACAUGGCUCAAAACUUAGCCCAAAGCAAGCACAGAACAGUUGUUGGUUGAAUCAGAGUCUCCAGUAAGCAAAGUCUUGGAACCUGUCACUUUCACAGCAUGGCAGUGAUUCCCACAAUCGGGCAAGCUUGGGAAAUUCUGAUAUGAUACAGACACAUUCAUUCGGAAUAAUGGAAAUAAAGGAAUUGGGUAAGGGAGUGUGUUGGGACUGGAAAGAGUUCACUGAUGCUUCUUAAUCACUCAGAUGUGAUUGGGUGGGGAGAAGGAUAGGAAACAGUGUGGAAGUCAAUCACUCAACAAAUCAUGGAUGCCUCUGGUGAGUGGGGCAAGAAUGAAGGUGGAGUUUCCACCCAGAAAGGCCAUACAAUCUAGUAGAGCAAGCAUCUAAACAAAACAGAAGGGGCUGGAAGAAAAGCUAGUUAUGCCUUGGGAGCAAUGCUUCUGGGGAUGAGUCUGCCUUGGAAGAAAACAGCUGGAAAUUGGUCCUGUCAUUGUGAAAUGGUGAUUGCCUUCAAGGGAAAUACCUGAGGAAUGGCAUGGCCAUACCCAUCCUGAUGGAGGCGAUCCAACCAGUCGCAGCCUUUCAAGAAAGUUUCACUCUGCUGAACCCUGAAAAUAAGGCCUUGAAAAGCAAACGACCCACUUGUACAUCAACCAUCAGCUUAACCCCCUAGUGCCUCAGGUUUACCCACUAAAUGUAGAGUUAAUUCUACAUUUAAAGCUGUUUGGAUCACAGUUCACAUUCAACUACGUAAUUAUUUAUCAUCACUAGCCUCUGAGACUAUUUGAGAAUUAAAGUAAAUCCAUUUAUAGCACACCGUAAGACUCCUAUAAAAGACAAAAUGCAUGAGUCAUGUCCCUUGCUACCUGACAGAGGAACAGAAGCCUUUCCGAGUGAAUAUUAUCCUGCGCCGAAAGCUUUCUUCCCUUAAUCCCCUGAAUUCAGAGCUGAAGCACUCACGAGUCUCUGUAACUUGAGUUGUGCUAACAUGUUGAAGUGGUAAACAAGCAGAGUUACUCAUCUCUUCCGAGGCCCAUUUUUUUCUGUCUACAUUCCAGCUCUGUCUUCUGAGCACAUGGCUGACCACUGCAUGGCCAAUGGAGACCAGGGCUCUUUAGGAAUAAGAAUGAGUUCUUAUGUGUUGAGUGUGAACAAUGGGCCAGGAAACGUGCUGCAAGUGCUUCCAGCUAUGUGAUCCCAUCUUCUGUUUCUUCAUAGCACUGAUGUCCCACUAACCCGGGGAGAGUCAUCUCUCAUUCUUCCUGGGCUCCAAUCAUCCCAUCUGUAAAGUGAAAAGAGUAAUUUUCAAACUGCCUCCACCCUUCAACCACAGGAAGCCUGAGUUGGUAUGAAAAGCUUGGCUAUCUUUCUGAAAGUGCCUUCUUCCCACACACCCUGCACACAAAGCUCAGAGCUAAUUCUCAUUCUUCAUCUUCUGACCUAAGACUCAGAAGGAGCUUCUCUGUGCACCCACUGUUAACGGAGGGUGCCACGCAGUUCUAGGCUCUUGGUGUCCCGAAUAAAGAAUUGGACGAGACAAACAGAUAGCAAAGCAAAGCAACAGAAGUUCAUUAAGCACAGUAUUACACUUUCAGGGCAGGAGAAUGGACUGGCCUCUGUGAGAUGAGAUCAGCGUCAGUUUGGUGAAGUUUGAGUCUUUUUACGUGUUUUUUUCUUCUCUUCCCAAGGCUGCCUAAUCUCUAGCCAGUGUCUGCCUUUUGAUUGAGAGGUGUGUUGUUUAGUUACUUCGGCCUCCAUGCACUUGCAAGCUGCCUCUAUCCCAUAAUUUUAAGUACAUGCAUGAUACGCAGCCCAUAUGCAUGAAUCUUAAGUAGCCAAUUAUCAUACAGGGUUAUGUGAAGGAUACUUUUUCUCUCUAAUGUGCAUGCCUGUCUCUGAAGCGCUGCCCCUUCCUGGUUUGGUCCAGAUCCUGCUGGCCAUGAGGUCCUUGCUCACUUCUCUAUCUUACUCUUUGUUUUGGCUGCUUAACAUCCACCUCUUAUCUUGCUUCUUGCUCACCCACCCCUUCAUCUUGCUUCUGCUCUCUGUUUUUACUUAUUCUGCCCUUUAUCCAACUUUUAAUUCCCUUUGCUAUUCUCCUGCCUCAUUUUCCCUAUUCUCCUGCCUCACCACUGUUGUUAAGCAGAAAAAGGACCCUUGGUGUAGCUCCUGCUAUCCAGGGCCAUGGGCAAUUCCUGGUCCUGCUGCCGUGGCACUCCUUUCCUUCCCUCACAUAGCAAUCUUGAAAAGCUGUGAGGGAACAACUUACUGUUACAUAGUAGGCAUUUAAUAAACAUUUGCUGAAUGGAUAAAUUAAUGAAGGUCUAAAUGGAUGGGUGGGGGUGGAUGGACAGAUGAUGACUGGGAGAUUGGGAACAUGAGCUCUGGCCUGUGUCUUUCAAACAAUGGAAAUCUGGAAAGCUAUUUAAACACUCUAGGACUGAAUUUGCCCACCUUAAAAAUGGCAGUGAUAAAAGUUCCUACCUCAGAAGUUUGUUGUGAGGAUUAAAGGAGACAAUUUAGACAAAUUGGUCAACACUGUGGCCAGUAUUUUGUUACCUUUAAUAAAUGUCAACUACUUUUAUUGGAAUAGUGAGCACAGGUUAUCUUAUUACGAAGGAAUUCUUGGCCGGGCACAGUGGCACAUGCCUAUAAUCUCAGCACUUUGGGAGGUCGAGGUGGAUGGAUCACAUGAGGCCAGGAAUUCAGGACCAACCUGGCCAACAAGGAGAAACCCUAUCUCUACUAAAAAUACAAAAAUUUGUUGGGCGUGGUGGCACACGCCUGUAAUCCCAGCUACUUUGGAGGCUGAAGCAGGA